GAUGAACGCUGGCGGCGUGCCUAAUACAUGCAAGUCGAGCGAACGGACGAGAAGCUUGCUUCUCUGAUGUUAGCGGCGGACGGGUGAGUAACACGUGGAUAACCUACCUAUAAGACUGGGAUAACUUCGGGAAACCGGGGCUAAUACCGGAUAAUAUUUUGAACCGCAUGGUUCAAAAGUGAAAGACGGUCUUGCUGUCACUUAUAGAUGGAUCCGCGCUGCAUUAGCUAGUUGGUAAGGUAACGGCUUACCAAGGCAACGAUGCAUAGCCGACCUGAGAGGGGAAUCGCCAACACGGAACUUGAGACAGGGCCCAGAUUCCAACGGGAGGAGCAAGAGGGAAAUCUGCCGAAUGGGGCGAAAGCUUGACGGAGCAACGCCGCGGGAGUGAGGAAGUCCUCCGAAUCGUAAAACCCUGUUAUUAGGAAAGAACAUAUGUUAAAGUAACAGUGACCACCUGAACGUAACCUAACCAAAAAGCCACGGCUAACUACGU
rnacentral:rRNA from 1 species